rnacentral:lncRNA from 1 species
CCUCUGUUUUAUAUUACUUAUGGGUGCCGUAUUUAUGUUAUGUAAUCUGCUUCUGUGCUUUACUAUGUGUUUGUGUGGUAUCUCGUGCCUUGAGCCGGGGGUCUAUCGGAAACAACCUUUCUACUUCUUCAGAGGUAGAGGUAUGGACUGCGUACAUCUUACCCCCCCAGACCCCACUAGGUGGGAAUACACUGGGUUUGUUG